GGAUGUAAGAUGGGUCCCCCCACCCCUUUGAUGGUGUGGCCGAGCUGUUAUUAGAGAGCUGCCUGCUGGCCACAGGGCCUGUGGGAGGUAUGGCCGCCUGCCCUGCCAGAUACUGACCCAGAGAAUCCGUUGGGCUGCUUCCCCCACCCUGGCUGGAGCCACCCCACAUCCCAACAAAGGGAUAAAUGGGAGCCAGAGUGAAAGAAGGGGGUGCGGAGCAAAACUCUGGGGAAAUAACACUUUAGGGAUGAAAUGAGGCGGACUGGCUGUGGAUCCCGAAGAGGAGCCACCAGAGGGAGCAGAAAAAUCCAGAACUGAGUGAACUGCCAAAAUAACCUGGACUUUCCCACCCCGACUUCAACAUCCUCUUUUUAAAGAUGUGGAAUCUUGGGAUCGGCGAGGAAGCCUGGGGAAACUGCAGCUUCAAAAUGCAUUAGCAACAAUCAAAAAGAAAAGAACUCGACACCUAGGGCAAGCCAUGCAAACGCCACGGGGAGAGAGAAGAAAAGGGGAAAAACCGAAGUGGAGCGGACUUCUCUGCCUUAAUGCUCUCAUCAGCUUUUGGCACCCCCGGAGCAGGCUUUCCGCCUCACCUGGCGGGUAUGGAGCAGCCGCAUCAGCUCCUCAAGUGAAAAAUGCAAACAAACUGGCCCUGGGAAUACAGACGUUCUAUAAAUGUUUAAUGCGGCUGCAUUAACUACAUGAAGGAGCGCUAAUGCUUUGAACAAAAUAGUCCAAGUCUAAUGCAUGGCGGUGAUCAGCAAAUUAGUAAAUUGUGUAAGUGCUUGUGUUUCUGUUUGCAAUUUCCUGAUGCCAUUUAAGGUGCUGGUUGCAUGUGCAGCGUACUCUUCCCUUACAUUUCCUUUCUGAUUUCUAAAGCUAAUGGUUUCUUCCCAUGAGGUUUAUAAAAGUAAUGCACGCUCAUGAUUGGAAAUGUAGAGUGCUCCAAAAAACUCCACAAAAGCUGGCUUGGAAAAUACGGUCCAUAAUCCCACUACCCCAGAACACUCACUUUUAACCUCAGACAUUUCUUUCCAAUCUUUUUUUGAUGCUGUUUUGUAUAAAGUAUACAUCAUUCUGUUCUUAAACCUGUCAUCACCAAACUGAGACACAAGCACGGUUUUGACUGUCCCAGAAAUAGAAUCUUAAAUCAGUUAUCAAGAACCUCGUGAUCAGCCCUAGUUUGGUGACCUGCCUGAUAGACCCCUGCCUUCCCCUAAAAGGAAGUCAUCUUGCCUUAACCUGCUUUGUGUGACCUGCCAGUGUAACUUCCUUGUUCCUGCUCCCUUCUGUCUGUAAGUCUUCAUUUACAGCUCCUCGGAGCUCCUUUCUUUCUGCUACAUUGGGUGCUGCCCGGUUCAUAAGUCAUUAAA